AGCGGCGGACGGGUGAGUAACGCGUGGGUAACCUGCCUCAUACAGGGGGAUAACAGUUGGAAACGGCUGCUAAUACCGCAUAAGCGCACAGUACCGCAUGGUACCGUGUGAAAAACUCCGGUGGUAUGAGAUGGACCCGCGUCUGAUUAGGUAGUUGGUGGGGUAACGGCCUACCAAGCCGACGAUCAGUAGCCGACCUGAGAGGGUGACCGGCCACAUUGGGACUGAGACACAGCCCAA
rnacentral:rRNA from 1 species